UGACUGAAGCUCAUGCAGCAGCUGAACAAAAACUGACUGAUUAUUACAAAGAUAUCAAAGAUAAAAUCAAGAGAGCCCAAAUUACAUACUGAAUUAUAUUCCUGUGAGAAAUAUUUUCUUCUAUCCUUACCUCUACUCUUUACUUUCUGAGCAAAAAGCACAAAUAAUACAAUGAAAUGCUCAAAGUUAUCAGUCACCUCUCAGACAUCACUUCUCACUUUGUAGCCUGUUAAACUGUUAGAACUAAGCUGAUGGUAAAAUCUUGUUCUUCGGUGUGAACACUGUUGUUUCUGUUCUCUCAGUGGGGAGAAAGAGUUUACUUCUCUAUGUUUUCUCUUGGUUUGUUUAAUAAGGGAGUUAGGUUAGAGAUUUGUAUUUCAUUUUCUUUUAUUUUUUAGGUAAGUUAGUUUUCUUAAUCUUUAAGUAAGCUUUGUUUUGUUUAUUAUUUUCCCUUUCAUCCCUAACUGUUGUCUCCCCUUUGAUUUAAGCCUUAUAUAUUUUUUUACAAUUUGUAAAAUAAACUAAACCUUUUGACUAAAA